rnacentral:rRNA from 1 species
CCGCUAGGAUCGUUUACUUUGAGGAAAUUAGAGUGUUCAAAGCAGGCGUAACUCGCCUCCGAAUACGUUAGCAUGGGAUAAUGGAAUACGACUUCGGUCUUGUUUCGUUGGUUUCGCUUGGCUGAAGUAAUGAUUGAUAGGGACAGUUGGGGGCAUUAGUAUUUAGUUGUCAGAGGUGAAAUUCUAGGAUUUACUAAAGACUGACCAAUGCGAAAGCAUUUGCCAAGGAUGUUUUCAUUAAUCAAGAACGAAAGUAGGGGGAUCGAAGACGAUCAGAUACCGUCGUAGUCUCUACCGUAAACUAUGCCGACCAGGGAUCCGGAGAGUUUGCAUGGAUGACUCCCCGGGCACCUUGUGAGAAAUCAUAAGUGUUUGGGUUUUGGGGGGAGUAUGGUCGCAAGGCUGAAACUUAAAGGAAUUGACGGAAGGG